UAUUAAAGUAGUAAUAGUUAUGUUCUUGAAACUUAAAAAAUUUGGCGGUAUUUUAGUCUAUUCAGAGGAACCUGUCCUAUAAUCGAUAAUCCACGUUGGACCUCACUUAAGUUUGUAAAUCAGUUUGUAUACCGUCGUUAUAAGAAUAUUUUAUUAGAAUAAUAAUUUUCUAGAAUUUUUAUAAAAAUUUAUAUCAGAUCAAGGUGCAGCUUAUAUUUAAGAAGAGAUGGGUUACAAUAAAUUUAUUUAUACGGAUUAAUUUUUGAAAUAAAAUUAUGAAGGUGGAUUUGAAUGUAAAAUUAUAAAGAUUAAUAAUUUGAUUUUAGCUCUAAAAUAUGUACAUAUCGCCCGUCACUCUUAUUAUUAAGGUAAGAUAAGUCGUAACAUAGUAGAUGUACUGGAAAGUGUAUCUAGAAUGCAAUUUAAAGCUUAAAUAGUAAAGCAUUUCAUUUACAUUGAAAAGAUUUUUGUGCAAAUCAAUAUAAAUUGAUUAGAUUUUAUUUAUUAAUUUAUUUAUUUUUUUUUAUUUUGUAUUAGAAAUAACUAUAAAAAAAUUGUUUUAGUAUUUUAUAAAGAAUAAAUAAUAUUUAUAAUAGUAUAUUAGUAUUGUGAAAGAAAAUUGAAAUAAU
rnacentral:rRNA from 1 species